GCAAGAGCAGAAUAUUAGAGGCAAGAUCUAUUACAAGGAUAGGUGCAUCUUGCUCCGUGAUUUCAUAAACAAUCCGAGGGAUAAGGGUAGGAUUGUUCUGCCACGUCCAUUCUCCAGUGCUUUGUCCAGGAACGGAGCUGAGAGCUGAAAUGCGAUGAGAAACAUUGUCGGAGCGCUUGUCUGAAAUGGCUUUCCCGUGCCUGGACAUCUUCUUUUGAAAGAUGACACGAGGUCACAAUGACCCUGCUGGACAUGUAGAGGGCACCUGUUCCAGUUUGACAGGAUGACUAUCAGACACAGGUUCAGAGAGAGAUGUAAAGUGGAAAAAGGCCAAUUAUCAACUUUUUUCCCUCUUUCAAGACUAUUGGAAGCUGCUUCCUGAUUUUAGGAUUAAUGUGGCAUGGAUCCUGGAACCAUUUCAAGACCAGAGGACCAUUAAGAG